UACAGAGGGUGCGAGCGUUGUCCGGAAUCACUGGGCGUAAAGGGCUCGUAGGCGGCCAACUAAGUCAGACGUGAAAUCCCUCAGCUUAACUGGGGGAACUGCGUCUGAUACUGGAUGGCUUGGAUUCGGGAGAGGAAUGCGGAAUUCCAGGUGUAGCGGUGAAAUGCGUAGAUAUCUGGAGGAACACCGGUGGCGAAGGCGGCAUUCUGGACCGAUAUUGACGCUGAGGAGCGAAAGCCAGGGGAGCAAACGGG
rnacentral:rRNA from 1 species